rnacentral:rRNA from 1 species
UACGGAGGGGGCGAGCGUUAUUCGGAAUUAUUGGGCGUAAAGAGCGUGUAGGCGGCCACACAGGUCUGCUGUGAAAACUCGAGGCUCAACCUCGAGCUGUCGGUGGAAACCGUGUGGCUAGAGUCCGGAAGAGGAGAGUGGAAUUCCCGGUGUAGCGGUGAAAUGCGCAGAUAUCGGGAAGAACACCCGUGGCGAAGGCGGCUCUCUGGGACGGUACUGACGCUGAGACGCGAAAGCGUGGGGAGCGAACAGG